GGGGGUACCGCCGCGAGUGGAGCCUGCAGUUAAUUUUGAGGGGCCCGGGGAAACUCACCCGGCCCGGAUUAAUUAAGGAUUGACCGAUUGACAUUUCUUUCUUGAUUCAUCGGGUGGAGGUGCCUGACAUGGAUUGGUGCCUGCAGUAACUGUGCUAGUUGAGCCCCAUGGCUGACGACACCCCGUGUUACGAAAUGUACGGUUAAAUUCCACCUGUAGAGCAACUUCUAUCUUUUGUUGGCGGCGUUUCAGCCGGGAACUCAAGAGAAACUGCCAGUGAGUGAUGCCAUGAAAGGGGGGGGGACGUCCAGUCAUCAUGGCCCUUAGAUCCAGGUGUAUGUGCUGCUACAAUGGCGCAUACGGGAGAAGCGACCUCCUUUUUCAAGCUUGCCAUUGGAAAUGCGUCGUAUUCCGGAUUGGAGUCUAAUUCUCGACUCCAUGAAGUCAUCAAUCUUGUGUUAAUUAGGAUCCUACCGCUUGUGUGAAUACCCUCUCGGGCCUUGUACACGCCGCCCGUCA
rnacentral:rRNA from 1 species